GAUGAAGAACGCAGCGAAAUGCGAUAAGUAAUGUGAAUUGCAGAAUUCAGUGAAUCAUCGAAUCUUUGAACGCACAUUGCGCCCAUUAGCAUUCUAGUGGGCAUGCCUGUUCGAGCGUCAUUUCAACCCUUAAGCCCUGUUGCUUAGCGUUGGGAGCCUACAGUACUGUAGCUCCCCAAAGUUAGUGGCGGAGUCGGUUUCACACUCUAGACGUAGUAAUUUUUUCUCGUCUGUAGUUGAGCCGGUCCCCUGCCGUAAAACCCCCAAUUUAUCAAGGUUGACCUCGGAUCAGGUAGGAAUACCCGCUGAACUUAAGCAUAUCAAUAAGCGGAGGA
rnacentral:misc_RNA from 1 species